rnacentral:rRNA from 1 species
AGCAGUAAGGAAUAUUGGACAAUGGACGAAAGUCUGAUCCAGCCAUGCCGCGUGCAGGAUGACAGCCCUACGGGUUGUAAACUGCUUUUAUACAGGAAGAAA